UGCAGGACAAAGACAAUCUGGCUAGGGA
rnacentral:piRNA from 1 species